AAAUUUAGGAUAUUACUAAACCAAGGGCCUUCAAAGCCCUAAAAAAGGGACCCCCCCCUUAAUUUCU
rnacentral:tRNA from 1 species